UGAAUACGAGAUGCUACGGCGUCGAAGCAGUCUAUGUCAUACUUCCAAGAAAAGCUUGCACUGUCAUAAACAAAUAAUGCCUGUACCAUAACCGACACAGGUGGGUAGGUAGAGUAUACUAAGGGGCGCGAGAUAACUCUCUCUAAGGAACUCGGCAAAAUGACUCCGUAACUUCGGGAGAAGGAGUGCCUUAUUUAUAAGGUUGCAAUAACAAGAUCCAAGCAACUGUUUACCAAAAACACAGGUCUCCGCUAAGUCGUAAGACGAUGUAUGGGGGCUGACGCCUGCCCAGUGCCAGAAGGUUAAAGAAGUUGGUUAGCAUCCGCGAAGCUGAUAACUGAAGCCCUGGUGAACGGCGGCCGUAACAAUAACGGUCCUAAGGUAGCGAAAUUCCUUGUCGGGUAAGUUCCGACCCGCACGAAAGGCGUAAUGAUUUGGAUACUGUCUCGGAGAGGGGCUCGGUGAAAUAGACUUGUCUGUGAAGAUGCGGACUACCUGCACCAGGACAGAAAGACCCUAUGAAGCUUUACUGUAACCUGAAAUUGAAAUUGGACUUUACUUGCGCAGUAUAGGUGGGAGGCGCUGAGAAUAUUCUUGCGGGAUUAUUGGAGCCAUCAGUGAGAUACCACUCUUGUAAUGUUAGAUUUCUAACUUUGUAUCAUUAUCUGGUCAAAGAACAGUUUCAGGCGGGCAGUUUGACUGGGGCGGUCGCCUCCUAAACGGUAACGGAGGCGCACAAAGGUUUCCUCUGAACGGGUAGAAAUCGUAUCUAGAGUGUAAAGGCAUAAGGAAGCUUGACUGUGAGACCUACAAGUCGAGCAGGGACGAAAGUCGGUCUUAGUGAUCUGACGGUGCUGAGUGGAAAGGCCGUCACUCAACGGAUAAAAGUUACUCUAGGAUAACAGGCUGAUCUCCCCCAAGAGUUCACAUCGACGGGGAGGUUUGGCACCUCGAUGUCGGCUCAUCGCAUCCUGGGGCGGUAGUACGUCCCAAGGGUUGGGCUGUUCGCCCAUGAAAGCGGUACGCGAGCUGGGUUCAGAACGUCGUGAGACAGUUCGGUCCAUAUCCGGUGUAGGCGUUAGAAUAUUGAGAGGAGCCUUCUUUAGUACGAGAGGACCGAGAAGGACAUACCUCUGGUGUACCAGUUAUCGUGCCAACGGUAAACGCUGGGUAGCUAUGUGUGGAGUGGAUAACCGCUGAAAGCAUCUAAGUGGGAAGCCCACCUCAAGAUAAG
rnacentral:rRNA from 1 species